CGAGAGAUCGUCUCCAAGCCUGGACCCAUCAGUCUAACAGUGGCUAAGUGCUGGGACCCCUCCCCCCGUAGUUACUUUGCCAUACCUCGUGCUGAACCGGUACGGCCCAUAGACC